CCUACGGGAGGCAGCAGUAGGGAAUAUUGCUCAAUGGGGGAAACCCUGAAGCAGCAACGCCGCGUGGAGGAUGAAGGUUUUCGGAUUGUAAACUCCUUUUGUUAGAGAAGAUAAUGACGGUAUCUAACGAAUAAGCACCGGCUAACUCCGUGCCAGCAGCCGCGGUAAUACGGAGGGUGCAAGCGUUACUCGGAAUCACUGGGCGUAAAGAGCGCGUAGGCGGGAUAGCAAGUCAGAUGUGAAAUCCUAUGGCUUAACCAUAGAACUGCAUUUGAAACUGUUAUUCUAGAGUAUGGGAGAGGUAGGUGGAAUUCUUGGUGUAGGGGUGAAAUGCGUAGAGAUCAAGAGGAAUACUCAUUGCGAAGGCGACCUGCUAGAACAUAACUGACGCUGAUGCGCGAAAGCGUGGGGAGCAAACAGGAUUAGAUACCCCAGUAGUC
rnacentral:rRNA from 1 species